GACCAGGCUAUCACAGAAAAUUAAUAUGUUUUGAGCGAGAAGGCGCAAAACUGAGCGAUCUUUGAGCCACUGUUUAGAGGCUGAAAUAACGCCCGGUUGGCCAAACUAUAGUUGCGAAGCUGGAUGAAAUACAAAACAAAAAGGAUGCUGCAGAACUCCCCACGAAGCAAGUUCUUCCAGUGUCCCGAAACGGUGGAAGCGGGUCGCUCGAUCCUGACUCUGGGGAAAUGCUGAAAAGGGAAGAAAAUUUAAUUGGGGGACAAGAAGUGGGAUGCAAACCUGUAUUCAUAAAUCUUGCUGUCUGAGGUGCAGCAAGCCACUAAUCUCUUGGCAGGAGUUGCGAGGCAUAGCAAUUAUUUACUGUACAGAAAGGCCGUCGGUGUAUCUUGCAUGAAUCCUGCUUAAUCUCCAAGUGUCUUUAUUCCGUGUGUUCACCCUCAGGACCUACAAAUAUCUACCCUGUAUACCUUCCCACCUUUCUACAAACUUACAAAAUGUUCCAUUGUCAUUUCAAAUAGAAGCUAAUAAUACAUGGGUUCA